UACGUAGGGUCCGAGCGUUGUCCGGAAUUACUGGGCGUAAAGAGCUCGUAGGUGGUUUGUCGCGUUGUUCGUGAAAACUCACAGCUCAACUGUGGGCGUGCGGGCGAUACGGGCAGACUUGAGUUCGGCAGGGGAGACUGGAAUUCCUGGUGUAGCGGUGAAAUGCGCAGAUAUCAGGAGGAACACCGGUGGCGAAGGCGGGUCUCUGGGCCGACACUGACGCUGAGGAGCGAAAGCGUGGGGAGCGAACAGG
rnacentral:rRNA from 1 species